GAUCUCAAGGACGAUCAAUGGAAACAGGACGCACCUGAGCUCAAUUUUGAGUCUCAUAGCAAAGGGUCUGAAUACUUCUUGUUUUUUGUGCAGAAAUGUCUAAAAUCUGUUUUUGCUUUGUCAUUAUGGGCUAUUGUGUGUAGAUUGAUAAUUCAUUCAAAUAUUGAAUCCAUCUGAGAAUAAGGCUGUAACGUAACAAAAUGUGGAAAAAGUCAAGGGUCUGAAUACUUUCCGAAUGCAGUGUAUAUCGCCCAGCCCUAUAAUGCAGUCAAGAUGCUCUCAAUGGUGCAGCUGUUUAACUUUGAGGAUCCGAGGGCCCAUGUCAAAUCUUUUCAGCCUCCUGAGGGGGAAGGCGUUGUUUUGCCCUCUUUGACAUCUGUGUUGGUGUAUGGGUACCGUGAUCAAUCCUUAGUGAUGUGGACACCGUGGAACUUUAAGCUCUCGACCUGCUCCACUACAGCUUGUCGACGUGAAUGAGGGCGUGCUCGGCCCUACGUUUUCUGUAGUCCAUGAUUAGCUCCUUUGUCUUGCUGACGUUGAGGGAGAGAAUCAUUAGCUGAAGCAGAAGAAACAGACUGUGGUCAAGAGCGCCAAGAAGGGGGUUCACACUGGACCUGACCCACCCUGUGGAGUACAGCAUCCUGGACUCUGCCAACUUCGUAAGUUACCGGCACCGCUUCACCGGACACCAUAGGGCUACUGCCCAUGGUCUUCAUCAUUAAACAGGCUAGGGAUAUUAUGCUUUAUCAUUGUGUAAUGUUUGUCUAACUCUGUGUGUGGAUUAUGGUAACAUUCCCUAGCUGACUAGAGUUCCCUUCCCUAGUCACUGCUCUUUCCAACAGGAAACCUUUCUCAACGAGAGGGUAAAGGUCAAUGGCAAGACAGGAAAUCUGGCAAAUCUAGUCAAGAUCCACGUCACAGAACCAGCUUUCCAAGAGGUACCUGAAGAAGAACAAUCUAGAAGAAAAAGAAACGCACACCUAUAAAGACGAGGUGCUGGCUAGCGGAGUAGAAACUUGAAAAUAAAACAGAGUCGCACACUCAGGGUACCCUGAUGAAGACAGCUUGGCUGUCGAAACGUUGGUAUUAAAUUGUUGCAUCUGAGCUCCUAGAGUGUGCGACUCUUUUAUUUUCACCUGAAGAAGAACAACCUCCAUGAUUGGUUGAGAGUCAUGUUGGCAGACAAGGAGACUUACGAGCUGAGAUACUUCCAGAUCAGCCAGGAAGAGGACAAUGAUGAGUAGAGCCAAGCUCCGCCCACCUGCCCCAGCAUGCAGGACUGGAGACUGGCCAGUCCGUCACACUUGUCACUUGUUUGUGAGAGGGAAAGUCUUCUGUGAGAGACAUUUGUAUUUGUCAGUUGAUAUACUGUAAACUUCAGUGUGUCAUCAUGUCUCUAGUUUUGAUGGGAGAAUAAAUUAGAUCAACAAAACA